GGGCAGGAACCUGGGCCAGCAGCAGCUCCGUCAGGUCCUUCGUGUUCCCUCUCCUGCUGGCUUCCAGCAAAUCGGGAAACCUCUUCCUGGCAGCUUCGUGAUGCAUCUCCCCGCCUGAAGAACAUUCCUGGGAAAGUCACGGCAUACGGACGAGGGGCAUGAGCCAAGAUAAUGGAGAGGCAACUACUUAGUGCCCAGAGAGAAGUGGAAAGAUUGAUGCUGGGAACUAGCCUGUGAGAUAGGGUGAGGGCAACGUGGAUCAGGGAACAGACCAAAGUGGAAGAUAUACUUGAGAGUGUUAGGAAAGAAGAAAUGGCAAAACAGUUCAUACACGUCGGAAACAAGACGCCAGAUGGACAAAGAAAGUGACAGACUGGUAUAUAACAAACACAAGGAGGCAGGAACCUAAGCAGUGACAAGAUGGCGUGACGAGAUAACGGGUUUCGGAGGCCGAGAUUGGACACAGAGAACGCAAGACAGAACAAAAUGGAAAAAAAUGGUAGACGCCAACGUCUUACAGUGAAAUGUUACAGGUUGAUGGUGAUGCUCGCUUCCCUUGCUUGUCCUGAAUCUUGGGAUCACAACCGUACUUGAUGAGGAGGCAAGCGAUGGCCACCCAUGCCCCUGCGACGUUGUGCUUUCG